UCAGACGAUGCGUCAUGCAUAUCAAUAAGCGGAGGAAAAGAAACUAACAAGGAUUCCCUCAGUAACGGCGAGUGAAGCGGGAAGAGCUCAAAUUUGAAAUCUUGAGAGGUCACCUUUCACGAAUUGUAGUUUAAAGAAGUGUUUUCUGUUACGAUCGUAAUAUAAGUUCUUUGGAAUAGGACAUCACAGAGGGUGAGAAUCCCGUCUAUGAUUGCGAUUUGUAGCUUUGUGAUACACUUUCAAAGAGUCGGGUUGUUUGGGAAUGCAGCCCAAAACGGGAGGUAAAUUUCUUCUAAGGCUAAAUAUUGGCGAGAGACCGAUAGCGAACAAGUACCGUGAGGGAAAGAUGAAAAGAACUUUGAAAAGAGAGUUAAAUCAGUACGUGAAAUUGUCAAAAGGGAAGCGUUUAACACCAGUGUUGUUUUCUGAAAAUCAACCUCUGUUAGCUUUAUGCAUGUUUGUUUAGACCUAAUCAGCUAUCUUGCAUGUUCUAUUGUUUGCAGUGGUGCACUUUUCAGUUUACAGGUCAACAUCAGUUUUUUUUACCGUAAAAAAGUUAAAGAAAGGUAGCUCAUGGCUCCGGUCGUGAGUGUUAUAGUCUUUUUCCUAUGCGGUAGGAGAGACUGAGGUCUGCAGUGUAGGCUAUUUGGCUAGAUACUCAGGUGCUAUGUGAUACCAUUUCAUAAACAACUUGUUGAUUAUGUUUUGUCUAUUGCAUACUCGCUUGUACUAUCAUACCUACGCUUAGGAUGUUGAAGACUCUACAGAGAUA
rnacentral:rRNA from 1 species